AGUGGCGAACGGGUGAGUAACACGUGGGUAACCUGCCCAUCAGAGGGGGAUAACAUUCGGAAACGGAUGCUAAAACCGCAUAGGUCUUCGAACCGCAUGGUUUGAAGAGGAAAAGAGGCGCAAGCUUCUGCUGAUGGAUGGACCCGCGGUGCAUUAGCUAGUUGGUGAGGUAACGGCUCACCAAGGCCGUGAUGCAUAGCCGACCUGAGAGGGUGAUCGGCCACAUUGGGACUGAGACACGGCCCAAACUCCUACGGGAGGCAGCAGUAGGGAACCUUCCGCAAUGGACGCAAGUCUGGCGGAGCAACGCCGCGUGAGUGAAGAAGGUUUUCGGAUCGUAAAACUCUGUUGUUAGAGAAGAACAAGUGCUAGAGUAACUGUUAGCGCCUUGACGGUAUCUAACCAGAAAGCCACGGCUAACUACGUGCCAGCAGCCGCGGUAAUACGUAGGUGGCAAGCGUUGUCCGGAUUUAUUGGGCGUAAAGCGAGCGCAGGCGGUUCCUUAAGUCUGAUGUGAAAGCCCCCGGCUCAACCGGGGAGGGUCAUUGGAAACUGGGGAACUUGAGUGCAGAAGAGGAGAGUGGAAUUCCAUGUGUAGCGGUGAAAUGCGUAGAUAUAUGGAGGAACACCAGUGGCGAAGGCGACUCUCUGGUCUGUAACUGACGCUGAGGCUCGAAAGCGUGGGUAGCAAACAGGAUUAGAUACCCUGGUAGUCCACGCCGUAAACGAUGAGUGCUAAGCGUUGGAG
rnacentral:rRNA from 1 species